GUAGAAGAUUCCCAUGUACCUACUUCACCUGUAGGUGAAGGCUGAGUCGUUGACCAGCAACCACUUUAGAUCUUUGAGGCUGCUUGUCCCUAGCAGGUAGAGAAGCCCACAAAAUGGACACCAGGAGGAUGGACAACCUUACCCUCUAUAUUGAUCCCAAAUUCAGGUGUGUUGGAGUCCUCCUCCACACUUCAUUCCUUUUUUCCAAACUGAUCCUACAAAGCAAGCCCCAAAAACUUAUUUAAAGAACUUGGUUAAGCAUUUAAUCUUCUAUUUCAGCUGGCUUUUCUCUCAUGGCUAGAAGCCAAUCUCAGCUCUGUUUCAAAACCAAUCCAGAGCAUCAGGAUGCAAACAUGAUUUGUUGAGAUAAGCUGCACAGUCUUAUAGUCUCAUCGCACCCAUCAGACUGGGCUCAGAGCACAGGUAGAAGGUUGCUCUGCCAAAACAGUCUUUCAUUCUACAUGGAUUUAUAAGAAAAAGGCACAGAGAGCAAGAAAAAGGCUGUCUGUCUUUACGCCACAUUUAAAAAGGGUUAUAAAUGAUAAAAUAGUAUGUAAAAGUUAUCUUUUUUUUUAGUUCAUCAGGUUCUGUUGAGUGUUCUGAUGGUUUCUGUGCAGUGUCUGGCUUCUCCUGAGCCAACAGAGUUCUGUGGUGGACAGAAGAGCUAUAAAGAGUGGACAGAGUCAGUCAAAGCCUGUCUCUGGGGCAGGACAGUUAGAAACAGACCUGAUGUUGACUUUAUAUUCGUUGGCAGAAGGCAGGAGCUACUCCACUGAAGUUAAUCAAGUUAACUCGGUCUAAUGCCAAGGCAAAACAGAUCUGAAUCUAGACCACAGUUCAGGACUCAUGUACAAUUUGCAUAAUGGAAUUAAAAUAAAGCUUCCAACUCUAGCUACAGAAAUACUCUGCUGAGAAUUAAAGACCGUGCUUGUUGUAUGGGAUUAAAUAAAAGGACACCCAAGGCAUCAGCUGUCACAGAAAACAAUCCAGUUUUGUCAGUUCCUGAGCCACACUCAGCUGUUUCAAUUGGUAGGGAUUUUUCUUCACCCCUUCUUUCUUUUCUUUUCUAUUCUAUUUGCAUAUGAACUCAGAUCCUUCAAGUCUUCAUGCUGCCUUCCAGGUUCAAGCUAGCCCCGCAGUAUACAAAGUUCAAGAUAAUGUCAACAUUUUGUCAGGACUUGGGAGGCAAGUGAGAAAGGAAUGUCACAGGGGAGCAUUAAAAGAAAUAUCAAAUAAGGUUCCUCUGAAAUCUUUCCCCCGAACCAGGAAAAGGUCUGCAAACCUUGGCACAGUUCAUCCUCCACCUGAACUCGCUCGUGUUUUGCUCAUAGAAGAUCUUCAGCCAUUCUGUAUGAUCUGCAAAGCUCACACCACAUCUUUCCGCUGGCUUCAGAGGACUUGGGGUUAGAGAUGGCACACUGCUAUUUAAAUAUUCUUGUUUAAUACAAGUUUAAUAUUCUGAUCUGCUCACGUGGUUUCUGCAUCCUUUUCUAGGUUGGUGCUGCUUCGGGGCACACUUGCAGAACUGUCUCUUGAACUGCCUUUGAAUCUGUGGCAUUUUGUAAUUCCUGCACCCUUCUGGGGCCAUCCCCUCUCUGACCACAUCUCGUGGUGGCAUUCGGUACCGACGGGCAGCGAUGCUGCUUUGCAAGGGAGCCAAAGGCAGCAUUUGCAAGAAUAGAGUACAACAAACUUGGUCCUAAUUCAGAACGGAUUUGCAAAGACUCCAGGGAGGCAGGGCAGGGCUGGAAAUCAGCUCAGCAUCUGGCAGGGGCCAGGAACAAAAGAAAAAGUCAUGGAAGAGCUGACCCAGAUGAUCAUAAGUAAUUAAGGAGUCUUAUAAAUCUGGUUUCCUUUCGGGCAGACCUCUCUAUUCAGCACAGAUCUGACAGAGGUAGACUCUAUUGCACAAUUACACUUUCUCCUCAACAAGGGAUGACUUGAGAGAGCAAAUGGGGGGCACGUAACAAAGUCAGUAAAAUUUUCUCUUCUUCUUUCACCCUCAUUGGCACUUCGCCCUUCUCUUUUUUCACCUGAAAAAAAAGGGGUACAUUAGGACAACCUCAACAUGAGAACCUGGAAUUCAGACCCAUUUUUCCUGGGUCCCACAAAGUAACUUCUCCCUGUGACCGUAGCAAUUGUUUCCCUGGAACAUUAACUAAGGAAUUUGAUGGUGUUUGGUUGUCUACCUCAGACUGAGGGUUAAUGAGUCUGGGCUAGCAAUGUGGUGUGCAAUAGCACAGAUGUGCUGGCAUGAAUUUGGGCUUAAAAUCCUGACCCCGUGAAAAUCGACACCAAAAUGUCUGUUGAUUUCCAUGGAGUGGGUUUCACCCAUAAAUUCUGAACGAGAAAAAAAAAAAAAA